rnacentral:misc_RNA from 1 species
AAGUCGUAACAAGGUUUCCGUAGGUGAACCUGCGGAAGGAUCAUUAACACGUUAUCCACGUAUCAUCAAUGAGAACCGUUUAACCUCCCUCGGUGACAGAAUGGGCAUUUGAACUGACGGGCCGGGUUUUCACCCCGCCACUGAGUGGACAUUUGUUGCAUCUUGAUCUGAGGCUUCCACUCCGCUGCCAGCUCUCCUUCAUGGAGAGAUCGCAAGAGUUAUUAACAUUUCUAACCCCUUUUUGCUAGUUGACUUUUAUAUGUGGCGCUUCGCUUCGGUGAGGUUCACACGUUUAAUUAUUUGAACGUUAAAAAUACAACUCUUAGCAAUGGAUAUCUAGGUUCUC